rnacentral:rRNA from 1 species
UACGUAGGGUGCAAGCGUUAAUCGGAAUUACUGGGCGUAAAGGGCGCGUAGGCGGCCUGCUAAGUCGAACGUGAAAUCCCCGGGCUCAACCCGGGAACUGCGUCCGAUACUGGUUGGCUUGAAUCCGGGAGAGGGAUGCGGAAUUCCAGGUGUAGCGGUGAAAUGCGUAGAUAUCUGGAGGAACACCGGUGGCGAAGGCGGCAUCCUGGACCGGCAUUGACGCUGAUGAGCGAAAGCUAGGGGAGCAAACGGG